AUCUAGUUGAUCCUGCCAAGUAGUCAUAUGCUUGUCUCAAAGACUAAGCCAUGCAUGUCUAAAGUAUAAACAAUUAUACAGUGAAACUGCGAACGGCUCAUUAAAUCGUUAUCGUUUGUUGAUAGUUUUCUACAUGGAUAGCAAGUGAUAACUUCAGAACUAAUACAUGACAACCUUCUGGCGUAUAUAUUAGAUACAAACCAACAAUAUGGUGAUUCAUAAUAUCUUGUCGAACCGAUCUUCGAUUGUAUCAUUCAAAUUUCUGCCCUAUCAACUGUCGAUGAGUAGGAUCAUUUCAUGGUAACAGCUGAAGGUAGCGGGGAAUCAGGGUUCUAUUCCGGAGAGGGAGCCUGAGCAGCUACCACAUCAAGGAAGGCAACAGGCGCGCAAAUUACCCAAUCCUGACACAGGGAGGUAGUGACAAUAUAUAACGAUCCGGGGCUCUUUGGGUUUCCCGGAGAUUGGAAUAAAGUACAAUUUAAACACCUUAACAGAACAAUUGGAGGGCAAGUCUGGUGCCAGCAGCCGCGGUAAUUCCAGCUCAAUAGCGUAUAUUAAUGUUGUUGCGGUUAAAAAGCUCAUGUGGAUUGAAAUUGGGCGGGCUAUUAGUUUAGGCCGCUUCGGGAAGAACUUCUUUAGUUACUUUGAAAAAGAUUAGAGUGUUCAACGCGGGUUUCGCCUGAAUAUAUUAGCAUGGAAUAACAUAACACGACGAGGGUCCAUUUGUUGGCUUGCAAACCCACGUAAUUAAUAAGGGGACAGUCAGGGGCGUCGGUAUUGUGUUGUCAGAGGUGAAAUUCUUGGUUACACAAGACUAACUACUGCGAAGGCAUUCGCCAGGAUGUAUUCAUUAAUCAGAACGAGUUAGAAGGGAUCAAAAGAUGAUCAGAUACCGUCGUAGUCUUAACCGUAAAAGCUAUACCGACUGAAGAUAUAGGUACCGCUUAUACAGUAUCCGCGCUCUACGAGAAAUCAAAGUGAUCAGGUUCUGGGGAGUAUGGUCGCAAGGCUGAAACUUAAAGGAAUUGACGGAAGAGCACCACCAGGGUGGAGCCUGCGAAGCAGUGACUCAACACGGGAAACUCACCGGGUCCAGACACAAUAAGGAUUGACAGAUUGAUAGCUCUUUCUUGAUUUUGUGGGUGGUGGUGCAUGGCCGUUCUUAGUUGGUGGAGUGAUUUGUCUGUAAUUGCGAUAACGAACGAGACCUUGACCUACUAAAUAGCUCUACUUGCGAUUGCGGGUAAACUGGCUGUAGAGGGACUAUCUGUACAAGUAGAUGGAAGUUCGAGGCAAUAACAGGUCUGUGAUGCUUAUGGAGCGUUCUGGGCCGCACGCUACAUGACGGAGCCAGCGAGUCGACCAAGCCAGAGAGGGCUGGGCAAUCUGUGAAACUCCGUCGUGCUGGGGAUAGAGGCAUUGCAGUGUGCUCUUCAACGAGAUUCCUGGUAAGCGCAAGUCAUCAGCUUGCGUUGAUUACGUCCUGCCCUUGUACACCGCCGUCGCUACUACCGAUUGAAUGGUUUAGUGGGACAGCGGGAGGCGAGAUGGGGGAGCAGCCUUUUGAACAUCAAACUUGGUCAAACUUGAUUAUUUAGAGUAAAAGUCGUAACAAAGGUUUCCGUGGUGAACCUGCGGAAGGAUCAUUA
rnacentral:rRNA from 1 species